GACACUAUGGCUUAGUGGUGGAGCAUAUGAUUGCAAGGCCUAGGUUGCGACAAUCAUGGGGUCCCGUGUUCGAACCACGGUAGUGUCU